GUUUUUUUUUGGAUAAAUAAAUAAAUAAACAAAUCAAGGAAUAUACUUUUGGAAAUGCUGAUUUUAAACAUAUGAUGUCUAUUUUUUUUUUCAAUUUCUAUUAUAGGACCAAAAACCUGUAAAGCACAGAAAGGUGACCUCAUAUCCAAGGGAUAAAAGCAUCAAGAGGUUGACAAAGAUGGUGACAUAUCAGGCUUCUGAAUUCCACUCCUCCCACAGACACACCCAAUGGAUAACUACCCAUGGAGCACUUACAUCUGAAAGAAAUCCAGAAACCAGCUGAACAACUCCUACAUUUCGGCCUUGUGGACUCAGACCAAAACAUGGAUCUUCUUGGAUUGCAAACCUACCAGAACUACAAUUCAGCUCUCUUGGGUCUCCAAGUCUCCAGCUUAUGACCUGUGUAUCUUGAAACUUCUCAGCCUCUAUAAUCACUAUAAUCAUAAGUCUCUGAGGAAGAUCUGAAAAGAUCGGGUUCCUCAUUAUGAAACUCUUCAGCGGGAAAACCUUCUCCAAAAUCCCCAGUGAUCUUAUACAUGUUCUACAUGAAGAAGUCACCAUUUAGAUGCCGGCCAUUACCCAUCUCGUUGAAAGCCAAGAGGAUUACAAGACCACUAAUUAAGUAAAAUGACUUCUGCCCAUUUCCCCACCCCUGAUCCUAGAAAAAGGCAAGAGAGAAAUGAAAAAGUUGAUUAUGUCCUUCUUCACAUGGAGACCCUCAGACUGAGGGUUAGCCAUUAUUAUGCAAAGGGAAGAAUAGGUGCUUAAAAUGUUCACAUGAUUUAAACUGUG